UUCCGGUGUAUGGCACUUAGAAAGCCAC
rnacentral:piRNA from 1 species